rnacentral:rRNA from 1 species
GCUUACGGCCACACCUGCCUGAGUACGCCUGAUCUCUUCCGAUCUCGGAAGCUAAGCAGGCGUGCCUGGUUAGUACUUGGAUGGGAGACCGCUCGGGAAUACAGGUGCUGUAAGCU